UACCAUGCAAGUCGAGCGGGGAAGAGUAGCUUGCUACUUUACCUAGCGGCGGACGGGUGAGUAAUGCUUAGGAAUCUGCCUAUUAGUGGGGGACAACAUCUCGAAAGGGAUGCUAAUACCGCAUACGUCCUACGGGAGAAAGCAGGGGACCUUCGGGCCUUGCGCUAAUAGAUGAGCCUAAGUCGGAUUAGCUAGUUGGUGGGGUAAAGGCCUACCAAGGCGACGAUCUGUAGCGGGUCUGAGAGGAUGAUCCGCCACACUGGGACUGAGACACGGCCCAGACUCCUACGGGAGGCAGCAGUGGGGAAUAUUGGACAAUGGGGGGAACCCUGAUCCAGCCAUGCCGCGUGUGUGAAGAAGGCCUUUUGGUUGUAAAGCACUUUAAGCGAGGAGGAGGCUACCGAGAUUAAUACUCUUGGAUAGUGGACGUUACUCGCAGAAUAAGCACCGGCUAACUCUGUGCCAGCAGCCGCGGUAAUACAGAGGGUGCAAGCGUUAAUCGGAUUUACUGGGCGUAAAGCGCGCGUAGGUGGCCAAUUAAGUCAAAUGUGAAAUCCCCGAGCUUAACUUGGGAAUUGCAUUCGAUACUGGUUGGCUAGAGUAUGGGAGAGGAUGGUAGAAUUCCAGGUGUAGCGGUGAAAUGCGUAGAGAUCUGGAGGAAUACCGAUGGCGAAGGCAGCCAUCUGGCCUAAUACUGACACUGAGGUGCGAAAGCAUGGGGAGCAAACAGGAUUAGAUACCCUGGUAGUCCAUGCCGUAAACGAUGUCUACUAGCCGUUGGGGCCUUUGAGGCUUUAGUGGCGCAGCUAACGCGAUAAGUAGACCGCCUGGGGAGUACGGUCGCAAGACUAAAACUCAAAUGAAUUGACGGGGGCCCGCACAAGCGGUGGAGCAUGUGGUUUAAUUCGAUGCAACGCGAAGAACCUUACCUGGUCUUGACAUAGUAAGAACUUUCCAGAGAUG
rnacentral:rRNA from 1 species